GAUGAACGCUGGCGGCGUGCCUAAUACAUGCAAGUCGAGCGAACGCUUGGGAGGUUGCUCCCAAAAGUUAUCGGGGGACGCGGGAGUGACACGUGUGGAUCCUGCCCGUAAGAGUGGGGGAACUUCGGGAAACCGGAGUUAAUAACGGACAACAUUCAACACAACAUGGCCUUCAAUGAAAAGGCGGCUUUUAGCUACCUCUUACAGAUGGACCCGGGGCGAAUUAGCUAGUUGGUGAGGUAACGGCUAACCAAGGCGCCGAGGCGUAGCCGACCGGAGAGGUGGAUCGGCGACAUUGGAACUGAAACACGGCCCGAACCCCGACGGGAGGCAGCAGUGGGGAAUCUUCGACAAUGGAGGCAAUCCUGCGGAAGCAACCCCGGGUGGGUGAGGAAGGCUUUCGGUCGUUAAAGCCCGUUUUUUGGGAAAGAAAAGUAGCGGGCGAAUAGGGCGGUGCCUUGACGGUACCUAACCAGAAAGCCACGGCUAACUACGUG
rnacentral:rRNA from 1 species